AUGCAUCAGGUGCCCUCUUUAUCCCCAAUUUCAUUCUUAGACUUCUCAUCUUGCCUUUCUGCUGAUCAUAACCUCUCUGCAGGUACUCUAUUUUUUAGUUGACACUUUGAAUUGUGCAUGCAAAGUGGAGAUCUAUAGAGCUUUGCAUCAAAAGGCCGAAUCCAAUGCCGCAGAGGCAUGCACGCAUGCCGACACAGUCAAGACAGAAGUUGAUAAGCUGAAAAAAUUUCUUAAUAAAGUUUUCAUUGAGCUCACACA
rnacentral:lncRNA from 1 species